rnacentral:misc_RNA from 1 species
AAACUGCGAUAAGUGAUGUGAAUUGCAGGAUUCCGUGAAUCAUCAAAUCUUUGAACGCAAGUUGCACCUCUCGGCUCUCCGAGAGGUACACUCGUUUGAGCGUCAGCCCAUCACCUCAAAAUCCUCCCCAGGAUUUUGGACACGGGCUGUCAUCAUGCCAAUUGGCAUGACGUCGCCUGAGCUGAAUGGAGAGCACUGAAAUGGACUGUGAGACAUGAACUACAUUUGUGGACGGGUCAUCUGACACCAUCCCCUCAAUUGUAGUGUCUCAUGAGUUCAUCUCAUGCUUUCCCUGGGAAAAGCCAGGAACAGCUGGUUGCACCUCUUUUCAGUGACCUCAAAUCGAGUGAAGCUACCCGCCGAAUUUAA